rnacentral:rRNA from 1 species
UACGGAGGGUGCAAGCGUUAAUCGGAAUUACUGGGCGUAAAGCGCACGCAGGUGGCUGAGUCAGUCGAUUGUGAAAGCCCUGGGCUUAACCUGGGAAUUGCAGUCGAUACUACUCAGCUAGAGUAUGGGAGAGGGCAGUGGAAUUCCCGGUGUAGCGGUGAAAUGCGUAGAUAUCUGGAGGAACACCGGUGGCGAAGGCGGCGUUCUGGACUGCAACUGACACUGAGAAACGAAAGCCAGGGUAGCAAACGGG